GGGGGCGCGCCUAACACAUGCAAGUCGAACGAGCGAGAGAGAGCUUGCUUUCUCGAGCGAGUGGCGAACGGGUGAGUAACGCGUGAGGAACCUGCCUCAAAGAGGGGGACAACAGUUGGAAACGACUGCUAAUACCGCAUAAGCCCACGGCUUGGCAUCGAGCAGAGGGAAAAGGAGCAAUCCGCUUUGAGAUGGCCUCGCGUCCGAUUAGCUAGUUGGUGAGGUAACGGCCCACCAAGGCAACGAUCGGUAGCCGGACUGAGAGGUUGAACGGCCACAUUGGGACUGAGACACGGCCCAGACUCCUACGGGAGGCAGCAGUGGGGAAUAUUGCACAAUGGGGGAAACCCUGAUGCAGCGACGCCGCGUGGAGGAAGAAGGUCUUCGGAUUGUAAACUCCUGUUGUUGGGGAAGAUAAUGACGGUACCCAACAAGGAAGUGACGGCUAACUACGUGCCAGCAGCCGCGGUAAAACGUAGGUCACAAGCGUUGUCCGGAAUUACUGGGUGUAAAGGGAGCGCAGGCGGGAAGACAAGUUGGAAGUGAAAUCUAUGGGCUCAACCCAUAAACUGCUUUCAAAACUGUUUUUCUUGAGUAGUGCAGAGGUAGGCGGAAUUCCCGGUGUAGCGGUGGAAUGCGUAGAUAUCGGGAGGAACACCAGUGGCGAAGGCGGCCUACUGGGCACCAACUGACGCUGAGGCUCGAAAGUGUGGGUAGCAAACAGGAUUAGAUACCCUGGUAGUCCACACCGUAAACGAUGAUUAAUAGGUGUUGGAGGAUUGACCCCUUCAGUGCCGCAGUAACACAAUAAG
rnacentral:rRNA from 1 species